rnacentral:rRNA from 1 species
CCUACGGGUGGCUGCAGUGAGGAAUAUUGGUCAAUGGACGAGAGUCUGAACCAGCCAAGUAGCGUGAAGGAUGACUGCCCUAUGGGUUGUAAACUUCUUUUAUAAAGGAAUAAAACGCGGCACGUGUGCCUUUUUGCAUGUACUUUAUGAAUAAGGAUCGGCUAACUCCGUGCCAGCAGCCGCGGUAAUACGGAGGAUCCGAGCGUUAUCCGGAUUUAUUGGGUUUAAAGGGAGCGUAGAUGGGUUGUUAAGUCAGUUGUGAAAGGUUGCGGCUCAACCGUGAAAUUGCAGUUGAUACUGGCAGGCUUGAGUGCAGUUGAGGUAGGCGGAAUUCGUGGUGUAGCGGUGAAAUGCUUAGAUAUCACGAAGAACCCCGAUUGCGAAGGCAGCUUACUAAACUGUGACUGACAUUGAUGCUCGAAAGUGUGGGUAUCAAACAGGAUUAGAUACCCGGGUAGUC